rnacentral:tRNA from 1 species
GCCUGGGUGGCUCAGUCGGUUGAGCGUCCGACUUUGGCUCAGGUCAUGGUCCCACCGUUCAUGGGUUCAAGCCCCAUGUCGGGCU